GACGAACGCUGGCGGCGUGCCUAACACAUGCAAGUCGAGCGGGGUUGAAGCGAGGGGUAACUCGAGUUUCUACCUAGCGGCGGACGGGUGAGUAACGCGUGGGCAACCUGCCUCAAGGACUGGGAUAACAGCUCGAAAGGGCUGCUAAUACCGGAUAAGCCCAUGGCCUCGCAUGGGGCCAUGAGCAAAGGGGAAACCCGCCUUGAGAUGGGCCCGCGUCCCAUCAGCUAGUUGGUGAGGUGAAGGCUCACCAAGGCGACGACGGGUAGCCGGCCUGAGAGGGUGACCGGCCACACUGGGACUGAGACACGGCCCAGACUCCUACGGGGGCAGCAGUGGGGAAUCUUGCACAAUGGGCGAAAGCCUGAUGCAGCGACGCCGCGUGAGCGAAGAAGGCCUGGUUGUAAGUCUGUCUGGAGGGACGAAGGAAGUGACGGUACCUCCGGACGGAAGGACCACGGCUAACUACGUGCCAGCAGCCGCGGUAACGUCACGAGAGUA
rnacentral:rRNA from 1 species